CCUACGGGAGGCAGCAGUAGGGAAUAUUGCUCAAUGGGGGAAACCCUGAAGCAGCAACGCCGCGUGGAGGAUGAAGUUUUUCGGAACGUAAACCCCUAUCGUCAGAGAAGAUAAUGACGGUACCUAACGAAUAAGCCCCGGCUAACUCCGUGCCAGCAGCCGCGGUAAUACGGAGGGGGCAAGCGUUAUCCGGAUUCACUGGGCGUAAAGAGCGCGUAGGCGGGAGAACAAGUCAGAAGUGAAAUCCUAGGGCUUAACCAUGGAACUGCGUUUGAAACUGUUAGGCUGGAGUGUAGGAGGGGUAAGUGGAAUUCUUAGUGUAGGGGUGAAAUGCGUAGAGAUCAAGAGGAAUACUCAUUGCGAAGGCGGCCUGCUGGAACGUAACUGACGCUGAUGCGCGAAAGCGUGGGGAGCAAACAGGAUUAGAUACCCGGGUAGUC
rnacentral:rRNA from 1 species